rnacentral:rRNA from 2 species
NCUGGCGGCACUAGCGCGGUGGUCCCACCUGACCCCAUGCCGAACUCAGAAGUGAAACGCCGUAGCGCCGAUGGUAGUGUGGGGUCUCCCCAUGCGAGAGUAGGGAACUGCCAGAC